rnacentral:misc_RNA from 1 species
AAUAUUCGAGACAAUAAUAGAAAUGAAAACUAGUGUAAUUUGCUUUUUGGUUUUCUUGUCGACGGUAAAUGGUUUCUCAUUUUUCGCGGAAAAAAUCCCAAAUGGAGAAUUUGUGCCACAUCCCUGCAAACCGAACUUCUUAUGGAAGGGGGUAGGACACAAGAAUAAAGACGGGGGAGGGGAGAGGAAUCAGUUUGGACGCGACUUUCUCAAUUUUGGAAAGAUUUGGAGCGAGUCCCUCUGCAGAAUGGACUCCGAUGGGGAUGGUAAAUCGAAUGGAGAAGAACUGGGCGAUCCAAACUGUGUAUGGAGAGAAGGGGACAUCCCACAAUUUAUGACAGGAAUAACCCACCCAGGUGUCUGCGACCCAAUGAACGCUACGAUCUGCUUGGAGAAGAACACUUGGGUAGACUGUAGUUUGGAAUCCUUUCAGUGCCAGGCUCUUCGGGAUGACCCAGAUAUAAAAAAUAUGACACUGACAUUUCCUAAAACGCCCGUACCCGUGGAAGAGACAAACUAUUAUUGCAUGGCUUUCGAAUUUCCUCAAGAUGGCGACUACCACAUGAUUGCUACGGAACCCAUUAUAGACAACAUCCACGUCAUGCACCACAUUCUGCUUUUUGGAUGCACUAAGAAACCACCAAUAUCUACAACGGAGCCCCAGCAUUGUGGGAUGGGUCUUGGUGAUUGUCUUGACGUCAUCGGAGGGUGGACAGUAGGGGCCACAGGCGAAUGUCUACACAAAGACAUAGGAUUCAGACUGGGUCAGCAUGGCUACAGUUACGGCAUAUUACAAUUUCAUUGGAACAACCCCCUGAAGAGAUCAGACUACGUAGACGGUUCUGGAUUAAUGAUACAUUACACUCCAAAUAAACGCAUUGCUGAUGCAGGUGUCUUAGUCAUUGGACAGAACUUUUUUGAGAUUCCUCCGCAGCAAGAAGAAGUACACGUCACUGGGAGAUGUAAUAACCUUGCCUUGAAUGGACCCAUUAACAUCACUCGGGCUAUCAACCAUAUGCACUAUUUAGAAAGAUGACGAUUGAACACUUUCGUGGAGAGGACGAAACAGAAUACAUUACUAACGAGCCUGAUUACAGUUAUGAUUCACCAAAGUUCUACAGUUUUUCAAAUCCUAUAGUAUUUAAACCUGGCGACACCCUGAAAACCACAUGUGUAUUUAAGUCUACAGGAAAAAAGAAAACUGUUUUUUAUGGGGAUGGAACAAACGACGAGAUGUGUCUUGGUUUUUUGACGUACUACCCAAAGCAAAAUAUCCAAUCCCCUUUCUGUGUUUCAUUAAAAGAUAUUGACCAAAUGCAAUUAUUUACUUCAGAGGAAUACAAGUCCUGUCGACACUGGGACUUUCUGUUGUCAUUAACGGAAGAAAUGCGACAUCUGAAAAAUCAGGUGAUAGAAAACUGUCAGCCUCUAAGAGGAUGCUUAAGUGAGUGUCAAUCAAUCGUGAAGUUAGUAAAGAGACACCCAUGCAUCACUGAGGACGUUGGAAGCUGGAUUAAAAACGCUGCACUCUUCAGCCUCGAUCAGAGAGUGAACAGGACGGAGAUGGAGACAUUUUAUUUGGGAUUGUCAUCAUGUGAUGUCUGGUUUGAAUCACACAAAAACGAUGACAAUUCGUCGAACAAUGGCUCUCAGUUGACAUUAUCAUUAUUUUUGUACUUAUUUCAUACUAUGUAUUUCUUUGUUACCAUUAUGUUCUGAUUAGAAAGAAGCGAGCACAAUAAAUUGACAAUUAUUACUAGUUCACGAAUGAGUGAUAAUACAGAUAUUUUCUUUAGGUCGAUGUACUAAUGAAAUAGUGCACAUGCACCUAUCAAUUAUAAUGUAAGCUUUGUUUCUUAUAAAGGCGAUGUACU